GUUAAUGUAGCUUAUUUUUAAAAGCACGGCACUGAAGUUGCCGAGAUGAGAAAUGAAAAAUUCUCCAAAAACA
rnacentral:tRNA from 1 species